UACGGGGGGGGGCAAGCGUUGUUCGGAAUUACUGGGCGUAAAGGGUGCGUAGGUGGUUGGGUAAGUUUGAUGUGAAAGCUCAGGGCUUAACCCUGAAAUGGCAUUGAAUACUACUUAACUGGAGGUUUGGAGGGGGGACUGGAAUUCUUGGUGUAGCAGUGAAAUGCGUAGAUAUCAAGAGGAACACCAGUGGCGAAGGCGAGUCCCUGGACAACACCUGACACUGAGGCACGAAAGCUAGGGGAGCAAACAGG
rnacentral:rRNA from 1 species